rnacentral:rRNA from 1 species
UACAGAGGUCUCAAGCGUUUGUUCGGAUUCAUUGGGCGUAAAGGGUGUGUAGGUGGCGCCGUAAGUCAGGUGUGAAAUCUCGGGCUUAACUCCGAAACUGCAUUUGAUACUGCGGUGCUUGAGGACUGGAGAGGAGACUGGAAUUUAUGGUGUAGCAGUGAAAUGCGUAGAUAUCAUAAGGAAGACCAGUGGCGAAGGCGGGUCUCUGGACAGUUCCUGACACUGAGACACGAAGGCCAGGGGAGCAAACGGG